UGGCUAUAUCAUGUUGAAAUACCAGCUCCCCAUGCGAUCACUGAAGUUAAAUAAUAUCAAGCCAGGUCAGUACCUGGAUGGGUGACUACUUUGGAAUACCAUGUGCU